rnacentral:rRNA from 1 species
GACGAACGCUGGCGGCGUGCUUAACACAUGCAAGUUGAACGGUAAGGCUCCAGCUUGCUGGGGUACACGAGUGGCGAACGGGUGAGUAACACGUGGGUGACCUGCCCUGCACUUCGGGAUAAGCCUGGGAAACUGGGUCUAAUACCGGAUAGGACCGCACCGUGAGGGUGUGGUGGAAAGUUUUUUCGGUGUGGGAUGGGCCCGCGGCCUAUCAGCUUGUUGGUGGGGUAAUGGCCUACCAAGGCGGCGACGGGUAGCCGGCCUGAGAGGGUGGACGGCCACAUUGGGACUGAGACACGGCCCAGACUCCUACGGGAGGCAGCAGUGGGGAAUAUUGCACAAUGGGCGGAAGCCUGAUGCAGCGACGCCGCGUGGGGGAUGACGGCCUUCGGGUUGUAAACUCCUUUCACCAUCGACGAAGGGUUUCUGACGGUAGAUGGAGAAGAAGCACCGGCUAACUACGUGCCAGCAGCCGCGGUAAUACGUAGGGUGCGAGCGUUGUCCGGAAUUACUGGGCGUAAAGAGCUCGUAGGUGGUUUGUCGCGUCGUCUGUGAAAUUCCGGGGCUUAACUCCGGGCGUGCAGGCGAUACGGGCAUAACUUGAGUACUGUAGGGGAGACUGGAAUUCCUGGUGUAGCGGUGAAAUGCGCAGAUAUCAGGAGGAACACCGGUGGCGAAGGCGGGUCUCUGGGCAGUAACUGACGCUGAGGAGCGAAAGCAUGGGGAGCGAACAGGAUUAGAUACCCUGGUAGUCCAUGCCGUAAACGGUGGGCGCUAGGUGUGGGUUUCCUUCCACGGGAUCCGUGCCGUAGCUAACGCAUUAAGCGCCCCGCCUGGGGAGUACGGCCGCAAGGCUAAAACUCAAAGGAAUUGACGGGGGCCCGCACAAGCGGCGGAGCAUGUGGAUUAAUUCGAUGCAACGCGAAGAACCUUACCUGGGCUUGACAUAUACAGGAUCGCGCCAGAGAUGGUGUUUCCCUUGUGGCUUGUAUACAGGUGGUGCAUGGUUGUCGUCAGCUCGUGUCGUGAGAUGUUGGGCUAAGUCCCGCAACGAGCGCAACCCUUGUCUUAUGUUGCCAGCACGUUGUGGUGGGGACUCGUAAGAAACUGCCGGGGUUAACUCGGAGGAAGGUGGGGAUGACGUCAAAUCAUCAUGCCCCUUAUGUCCAGGGCUUCACACAUGCUACAAUGGUCGGUACAGUGGGUUGCCAGUCCGUGAGGGCGAGCUAAUCCCGCAAAGCCGGUCUCAGUUCGGAUCGGGGUCUGCAACUCGACCCCGUGAAGUCGGAGUCGCUAGUAAUCGCAGAUCAGCAACGCUGCGGUGAAUACGUUUCCGGGCCU